UACGGAGGGGGCGAGCGUUGUCCGAAGUUACUGGGCGUAAAGCGCGCGUAGGCGGGUCGAAAAGUCCGCUGUGAAAGCCCGAGGCUUAACCUCGGCGGGGCGGUGGAUACUUUCGGUCUUGAAGGUGCUAGGGGGAGAUGGAAUUACCGGUGUAGCGGUGAAAUGCGUAGAUAUCGGUAGGAACACCAGUGGCGAAGGCGGUCUCCUGGGGCAUUCUUGACGCUGAUGCGCGAAAGCUGGGGGAGCGAACAGG
rnacentral:rRNA from 1 species